rnacentral:rRNA from 1 species
GGGCCAGCCGCGGCGGUAAUCCAGAGGGGGCGAGCGUAAAUCGGAUUUACUGGGCGUAAAGCGUGCGUAGGCGGCUUUUUAAGUCGGAUGUGAAAUCCCUGAGCUUAACUUAGGAAUUGCAUUCGAUACUGGAAAGCUAGAGUAUGGGAGAGGAUGGUAGAAUUCCAGGUGUAGCGGUGAAAUGCGUAGAGAUCUGGAGGAAUACCGAUGGCGAAGGCAGCCAUCUGGCCUAAUACUGACGCUGAGGUACGAAAGCAUGGGGAGCAAACAGGAUUAGAUACCCUGGUAGUCC